UGGCUCAGUUGGUAGAGCGUGGUGUUUGCAAUACCAGGGUUGUGGGUUCGAUUCCCAC
rfam:Salmo salar isolate Sally breed double haploid chromosome ssa03, whole genome shotgun sequence.